rnacentral:lncRNA from 1 species
GCAAUAAUGUCUGACUACCUAUGUAGCGUUUAUUACUUUUAUAGGGUUUUUCACAAGAAGACAAAGGCAACAUAGAUACAGUAUUGGGAUUGGUGAAAACUCUCAACCAAUCCUUAAGAAUAGUGAUGAUCUUAGUAAGAUGAGAUCAUAUACAAGUCCAGGACUUUCCAGGACAGGGAAUGAGAUCAUGCAAAGAGGCCCCUGUAUUAGACACAGCAGUUGCUGCUUCCGCCAUCUGCAGGAUCUCUUCUGUUACUACAAUAAACUCAUCAACUUUUCCCUCAGUUGGAUUUCCAUGUGGGCAAUAAGGAACUAUUUAUGCCAGUAGCAUCAUCCACAGACAGAUUAGUCUCUGUGAGUCCUCCGGUAUAUCGCCAGGUUCGAAUUCUGACAGAAACUUUUGCCACCAAGAAGACAUUUAAAGGGUUUCUCUCUUGUGUGAGUAGUGUUUCACCAAGUAGGAAUUCUGACUGAAAUAUAUCCAAAAUCAGGUUGUUCAAAAGAUUUCUCUCUUUUUUGAGUCUUCUGGUGUUUCACAGGGUCAGAAUUCCCAUUGAAACUUUCCCAUAUUCUACACAUGCAAACAGUUUCUCUCCUGGGUCAUUCCAAUGAUGAUUCAGCAGUCAGGAAUUCCGACUGAAACUGUUCCCACAAUCAGAAUAUUAAAAGGGUUUCUCUCCUGUGUGAGUCCUCUGAUGGCUCACCAGGUGAUAAUUCCGACUGAAACUUUUCCCACAAAGAUGACAUUCAAAGGGUUUCUCUCCUGUGUGAGUCCUCUGGUGUUCUGCCAGAUGAGAAUUCUGACUGAAACUUUUCCCACAAACAGGACAUUCAAAGAGUUUCUCUCCUGUGUGAGUCCUCUGGUGUAUCACCAAGUCAUAAUUCCGUCUGAAACUUUUCCCACAAAUAGGACAUUCAAAGGGUUUUUCUCCUGUGUGAGUACUCUGAUGGAUCACCAGGACAUAAUUCCUACUGAAACUUUUCCCACAAACAGGACAUUCAAAGGGUUUCUCUCCUGUGUGAGUCCUCUGAUGACUUACCAGGCUGGAAUUCUGACUGAAAUUUUUCCCACAAACAGGACAUUCAAAGGGUUUUUCUCCUGUGUGAGUACUCUGAUGGAUCACCAGGACAUGAUUCCUACUGAAACUUUUCCCACAAACAGGACAUUCAAAGGGUUUCUCUCCUGUGUGAGUCCUCUGAUGACUUACCAGGCUGGAAUUCUGACUGAAAUUUUUCCCACAAACAGGACAUUCAAAGGGUUUUUCUCCUGUGUGAGUCCUCUGAUGUGUUACCAGGUUGGAAUUCUUGCUGAAACCUUUCCCACAAACAGGACAUUCAAAGGGUUUCUCUCCUGUAUGAGUCCUCUGGUGUUCUGCCAGAUGAGAAUUCUGACUGAAACUUUUCCCACAAUCAGGACAUUCAAAGAGUUUCUCUCUUGUGUGAAUCCUCUGGUGUAUCACCAAAUCAUAAUUCUGCCUGAAACUUUUUGCACAAACAGGACAUUCAAAGGGUUUCUCUCCUGUGUGACUCAUCUGGUGUAUCACCAAGUUAUAAUUUUGUCUGAAACUUUUCCCACAAAUAGGACAUUCAAAGGGUUUCUCUCCUGUGUGAGUCCUCUGGUGUUUCACCAAGUCAGAAUUUUCUCUGAAACUUUUCCCACAAUCAUGACAUUCAAAGGGUUUCUCUCCUGUGUGACUCCUCAGGUGUUUCAUGAAGUGGGAAUAUCCAAUGAAAUGUUUCCCACAAUCUGGACAGUCAUACGGCUUCUUGCUGCUGUGAGUCCUCAGAUGUAUCACCAAGUUGCCAUUUUUCUUAAAGGAUUUACCACAUUGGAA